UACGGAGGGAGCUAGCGUUGUUCGGAAUUACUGGGCGUAAAGCGCGCGUAGGCGGCUUUGUAAGUUAGAGGUGAAAGCCCGGGGCUCAACCCCGGAAUUGCCUUUAAGACUGCAUCGCUUGAAUCCGGGAGAGGUGAGUGGAAUUCCGAGUGUAGAGGUGAAAUUCGUAGAUAUUCGGAGGAACACCAGUGGCGAAGGCGGCUCACUGGACCGGCAUUGACGCUGAGGUGCGAAAGCGUGGGGAGCAAACAGG
rnacentral:rRNA from 1 species